rnacentral:rRNA from 1 species
UACGUAGGGUGCAAGCGUUGUCCGGAAUUAUUGGGCGUAAAGAGCUCGUAGGCGGCUUGUCGCGUCUGCUGUGAAAACUCGGGGCUCAACCCCGAGCUUGCAGUGGGUACGGGCAGACUAGAGUGCGGUAGGGGAGACUGGAAUUCCUGGUGUAGCGGUGGAAUGCGCAGAUAUCAGGAGGAACACCCGUGGCGAAGGCGGGUCUCUGGGACGGUACUGACGCUGAGACGCGAAAGCGUGGGGAGCGAACAGG